rnacentral:misc_RNA from 1 species
GGCAAACUAAGGAUUGAAAAUUUUAUUGACCACAUAAAUGUAUAUUUGAAGUUCUUCUUUUUUUUGUUUGGGCAUGACAGUCUUUGAUUGUGCAUAUUAGCUUUCAUUUCUAUUUCCCCUAUCGAAUAUAUACUCCAUUAUCCUCCCGGUCAUCCUCCUGGUUUUUGCAAGAAAACACUAAAUUCUUCUUCUGCUUUCUCUGUUAAAGUUUCACCAUCAAUACAUGCCCACUGGAGGGACCCCCUUUUACUAUUCUUCACAGAAGUAAAAGUAUAGGCCCACAUCAAGGACAUUGCAGACAAUGUCCUAAUAUGAUCAAUGGUAUGGAUUCUGCCACCUCACACAUCCCUGUAUGUUUAAAUAUCCUCAUUGCCUUAAACUGAAUUGGAAGUUUCUUGCUUCACCACAACGCCCUUUGAGAUAAUGUUAGUACCUCAAGAAAAAGAUUGCAAGGAGAAUGUGUGGCCCUUAUCAGGCUGAAAGUCACACACAUCCACACACGCAAGUCUUAUUGACUAGAAUGGGAUUGUUACAUUGCUAAAUGUUAACUGUGGGGCUUGAGGGCUUUUGCCUGUCCUAAUGAUUUACUUUGGGAUGGAAUAAUAAGCAUGUCAAGACCUUUUGGAUGAGGUAAUUCAGAGGAGGACAACUAUAAUUUCUUGUCUUCAACAGUUAGACGUUGAAGGGAAGAGAAAUAACUUAAAGGCUGUCAAAAAGUGAAAACCAUCUACAUCUCUAGGAGACAAUGAUAGACACCCAUUUAAGAAAAUGGUCCCUUGAAUUUUGCAUUACACAGAAGUACACAUUGAAUUUUAGUGUAUUUUUUUGUAAUGUGAAAAGGAUCAAUACAAGAAAAAGAUAGAUGUUACUAAAGCAAAUAUGAAUCCCAGGAAACUAAAAGAUACUCAGAUAUAUAUAUAUGUUACCCAUAGAGUCAAAAUCUUUAUAGGAUUUUCAAUGUGGAAAGGUGAAGCAAAGGCAGUGAUUAUUGUCAAAAUCCAUUUUCAGAUAAAAGCUAUGGAUUGCUUACAGAAAAACUACAACCUUUUAAACCAGAAUAAUUGAAUCAAAUGGACGUUGGCUCAAUUGCUACACGCGCAGGUAAUUGCGAGUGGAGUCAUGUUUUCUAAGCCACAUCGACCCUACCUCCAAGAAAAAGAAAAUAGCAGAAUAAUUGAAGCAGAUGAUAUAAGCAGAAAAGCUUUAUUCAGAAAUUCUACAGUGUUCAAAUGGAGAGGGAUAACAUAAUAAGCAGCUUAAUUUGGCUUAAUCACAAAUAUAACUUGAAGUAAUGAAAAGCUCAAAAAUUUUGUAUCAGGCAUUUACAAAAUGAAAAGAAAAUUAUAUAGCACACACCUGUAGCAAGAAGACAUCUUUUUUUCCAAGCCAUCUCAAACUGAAAAAACUUCUAUGAUUGAAUUAGACUCUGCACAUGUUAAUUUAACACAACCAACCUAAAGGGUUUGUCCGAAAGCCACCGCAAGUCUCUGGAGAUCCUUGGCGUAGAUGUCUGAUGGCUGGGAAGCUUGUUGAUGAUGGUGAUUGUGGUUCUGUUGCCAACUAGCACUUGACCCUUCUGUUAUGAAGUUUGUUUCUGGUUUAACCUCACUGUACAUAGGUUGAGAUGUUUGGUUCUGUAUUGCUGUUCCAAGAAGAAAUGGGGUACUCAGAUAUUCAGACCAUUUGAUGUCUUCUGGGUCGUUUUCGAGCGAGCGAAGUUGGGCUUCCUCACCGGGUUUUCCACAAUCCGCUAGCCCCCAAGAGAAGGUGUUGCUCUCAAAGAAGUUGUUGUUGUUUUGCAGUUCAAUACUACUACUGCUUCCAUGGCUGCUGCUGCCAUUGUUACUGAAGCUAACGGCUUCCCAAUUCUGGACCCCACUGACAUCACAAGAACCUACAGAAGGAUUAUCAGAUGGAAGACUAACAGAAGGCUUUACGCGUAUAGAAGUUUGAAACAUUGAGCUUGACAUGGAUUGGAGAAUACUUGGUGUCAUACUAGAAUUGAACUCAGAAAUCAUCUCAGAGGAGGAGGAAUUUGGAUUAAAGCAGAUACUAGUAUUUGGAUUAACUGAAAGCCCUAUAUUAGGGCUGUAACUCAACUUCUGGAAAGGUAAAUACCCCACCAAAACAGAUGGCCUACAACUGGGGGUGGAGCUUUCAUGGGAGGUAGCAAACCUAUCUAGGAAGAAUUCUUGGGUUGGUGGAGUGGGUGUCAAGUUGCUGCUGUGAUCAUUAUUGGAGGUGAUCUUGGAGCUGGAAGAAACAAUAGAUGGUUUUGAAUUUGCUGGCUCAAUGAGGUUCAGUUCAUUAUUAGAUAGAAUAGAGGCUUUCUCAUUGUUUUUGUUGUUUGUGGGUUGUUUUUCUUUAUCAUUCUCAACCUCAGAGAGGGGUUUGUGAGUGUUGGGGUCAAUGCCUCUUUGUCUCAGCUUCUUUUUAAUGCUGGAGUUCCAUAAAUUCUUUAUCUCAUUAUCGGUCCUUCCCGGCAGCUGUGCUGCAAUCUGAGACCAUCUGAAGAAGCAGCACAUAACCAAAAGCAAUAGAAUUGAUUAUCAAGAAGCUAAAAACAUAUGGAUGGAAAGGAAAUAUGAUGAUAGGAAAUAGUACCUGUUGCCAAGAACUGAAUGGAGUUCAAUGAUCAAGUUCUCUUCCUGCUGGGAAAAUGCUCCUCUCUUCAAAUCAGGCCUCAAGUAGUUAAUCCACCUUAACCUGCAGCUCUUUCCACACCGCUGCAAACCUGCUAGUUUAGGGACAGAGCUCCAACACCCAUGUCCAUGCUUAGUAAUAUAAUUCAGUAGCUUCUCAUCUUCCUCAGGAGACCACAGCCCUUUCCUUAACUUCUGUUUGUAACAGCAAGAAUGCCUACCCAUGUGGAGUCCAACAAAAGAAUCUGCAAUGCUGGCAAGAGAAACUUUUCAAAAGUGCAAGUUUUGUGUCAGCAACAAAAGAACAGGAUUUGAAAUGGAUUCUAGGAAGUAGGGUGGUGGAAUAUGUUAUAUGUUGAGAGAGAGAGAGAGAGAG